rnacentral:rRNA from 1 species
GACGAACGCUGGCGGCGUGCCUAAUACAUGCAAGUCGAACGCAGUGGGGACGGGUGAGUAACACGUGGGUAACCUCCCAUCAGAGGGGAUAACACUUGGAAACAGGUGCUAAACCGAUACUGAUGGAUGGACCCGCGGUGCAUUAGCUAGUUGGUGAGGUAACGGCUCACCAAGGCCACGAUGCAUAGGCGACCUGAGAGGGUGAUGGGCCACACUGGGAGUGAGCAACGGCCCAGACUCUGACGGGAGGCAGCAGUAGGGAAUCUUCGGCAAUGGACGAAAGUCGGACCGAGCAACGCGGCGAGAGUGAAGAAGGUUUUCGGAUCGUAAAACGCUGUUGUUAGAGAAGCGGUAGCUAACCAGAAAGCCACGGCUAACUACGGGCCAGCAGCCGCGGUAAGUC